GAUGAACGCUGGCGGCGUGCCUAAUACAUGCAAGUCGAGCGAAUGGAUUAAGAGCUUGCUCUUAUGAAGUUAGCGGCGGACGGGUGAGUAACACGUGGGUAACCUGCCCAUAAGACUGGGAUAACUCCGGGAAACCGGGGCUAAUACCGGAUAACAUUUUGAACCGCAUGGUUCGAAAUUGAAAGCCGGCUUCGGCUGUCACUUAUGGAUGGACCCGCGUCGCAUUAGCUAGUUGGUGAGGUAACGGCUCACCAAGGCAACGAUGCGUAGCCGACCUGAGAGGGUGAUCGGCCACACUGGGACUGAGACACGGCCCAGGCUCCUACGGGAGGCAGCAGUAGGGAAUCUUCCGCAAUGGACGAAAGUCUGACGGAGCAACGCCGCGUGAGUGAUGAAGGCUUUCGGGUCGUAAAACUCUGUUGUUAGGGAAGAACAAGUGCUAGUUGAAUAAGCUGACACCUUGACGGUACCUAACCAGAAAGCCACGGCUAACUACGUGCCAGCCGCCGCGGUAA
rnacentral:rRNA from 1 species